CUUCGGGGACGAUAACGGCGUCGAGCGGCGGACGGGUGAGUAAUGCCUAGGAAAUUGCCCUGAUGUGGGGGAUAACCAUUGGAAACGAUGGCUAAUACCGCAUGAUGCCUACGGGCCAAAGAGGGGGACCUUCGGGCCUCUCGCGUCAGGAUAUGCCUAGGUGGGAUUAGCUAGUUGGUGAGGUAAGGGCUCACCAAGGCGACGAUCCCUAGCUGGUCUGAGAGGAUGAUCAGCCACACUGGAACUGAGACACGGUCCAGACUCCUACGGGAGGCAGCAGUGGGGAAUAUUGCACAAUGGGCGCAAGCCUGAUGCAGCCAUGCCGCGUGUGUGAAGAAGGCCUUCGGGUUGUAAAGCACUUUCAGUCGUGAGGAAGGUAGUGUAGUUAAUAGCUGCAUUAUUUGACGUUAGCGACAGAAGAAGCACCGGCUAACUCCGUGCCAGCAGCCGCGGUAAUACGGAGGGUGCGAGCGUUAAUCGGAAUUACUGGGCGUAAAGCGCAUGCAGGUGGUUUGUUAAGUCAGAUGUGAAAGCCCGGGGCUCAACCUCGGAAUAGCAUUUGAAACUGGCAGACUAGAGUACUGUAGAGGGGGGUAGAAUUUCAGGUGUAGCGGUGAAAUGCGUAGAGAUCUGAAGGAAUACCGGUGGCGAAGGCGGCCCCCUGGACAGAUACUGACACUCAGAUGCGAAAGCGUGGGGAGCAAACAGGAUUAGAUACCCUGGUAGUCCACGCCGUAAACGAUGUCUACUUGGAGGUUGUGGCCUUGAGCCGUGGCUUUCGGAGCUAACGCGUUAAGUAGACCGCCUGGGGAGUACGGUCGCAAGAUUAAAACUCAAAUGAAUUGACGGGGGCCCGCACAAGCGGUGGAGCAUGUGGUUUAAUUCGAUGCAACGCGAAGAACCUUACCUACUCUUGACAUCCAGAGAACUUUCCAGAGAUGGAUUGGUGCCUUCGGGAACUCUGAGACAGGUGCUGCAUGGCUGUCGUCAGCUCGUGUUGUGAAAUGUUGGGUUAAGUCCCGCAACGAGCGCAACCCUUAUCCUUGUUUGCCAGCGAGUAAUGUCGGGAACUCCAGGGAGACUGCCGGUGAUAAACCGGAGGAAGGUGGGGACGACGUCAAGUCAUCAUGGCCCUUACGAGUAGGGCUACACACGUGCUACAAUGGCGCAUACAGAGGGCGGCCAACUUGCGAAAGUGAGCGAAUCCCAAAAAGUGCGUCGUAGUCCGGAUUGGAGUCUGCAACUCGACUCCAUGAAGUCGGAAUCGCUAGUAAUCGUGGAUCAGAAUGCCACGGUGAAUACGUU
rnacentral:rRNA from 1 species